UUGGGGCGUAGGGGCCGACCGCACGCAGUCGCGCAGCGCUGCCUCCGCCUACCAGUCUCGCCCGCGAUCCCGGCCCGGGGCUGUGGCGUCGACUCCGACCCAGGCAGCCAGCAGCCCGCGCGGGAGCCGGACCGCCGCUGGAGGAGCUCGGACGGCAGGCUGAGCCCUCCCGCCGUUCCUUGGCUGAAGCCCGAGUGCGGAGAAGCCCGGGCAAACGCAGGCUAAGGAGACCAAAGCGGCGAAGUCGCGAGACAGCGGACAAGCAGCGGAGAAGGAGGAGGAGGUGAACCCAGAGAGGGGCAGCAAAAGAAGCGGUGGUGAUGGGCGUCGUGGCCAUGGCGGCGGCUAUCGCCAGCUCGCUCAUCCGUCAGAAGAGGCAAGCUCGCGAGCGCGAGAAAUCCAACGCCUGCAAGUGCAGCCCCAGCAAAGGCAAGACCAGCUGCAACAAAAACAAGUUAAAUGUCUUUUCCCGGGUCAAACUCUUCGGCUCCAAGAAGAGGCCCCGAAGAAGACCAGAGCCUCAGCUUAAGGGUAUAGUUACCAAGCUAUACAGCCGACAAGGCUACCACUUGCAGCUGCAGGCGGAUGGAACCAUUGAUGGCACCAAAGAUGAGGAUAGCACUUACACUCUGUUUAACCUCAUCCCUGUGGGUCUGCGAGUGGUGGCUAUCCAAGGAGUUCAAACCAAGCUGUACUUGGCAAUGAACAGUGAGGGAUCCUUGUACACUUCGGAACUUUUCACACCUGAGUGCAAAUUCAAAGAAUCAGUGUUUGAAAAUUAUUAUGUGACAUAUUCAUCAAUGAUAUACCGUCAGCAGCAGUCAGGCCGAGGGUGGUAUCUGGGUCUGAACAAAGAAGGAGAGAUCAUGAAAGGCAACCAUGUGAAGAAGAACAAGCCUGCAGCUCAUUUUCUGCCCAAACCACUAAAAGUGGCCAUGUACAAGGAGCCAUCACUGCACGACCUCACGGAGUUCUCCCGAUCUGGAAGCGGGACCCCAACCAAGAGCAGAAGUGUCUCUGGCGUGCUGAACGGAGGCAAAUCCAUGAGCCAAAAUGAAUCAACGUAGCCAGUGAGGGCAAAAGAAGGGCUCUGUAACAGAACCUUACCUCCAGGUGCUGUUGAAUUCUUCUAGCAGUCCUUCGCCCAAAAGUUCAAAUUUGUCAGUGACAUUUACCAAACAAACAGGCAGAGUUCACUAUUCUAUCUGCCAUUAGACCUUCUUAUCAUCCAUACUAAAGCCCCAUUAUUUAGAUUGAGCUUGUGCAAAAGAAUGCCAAGCAUUUCAGUGAACUAAAUCUGGGAGAAGGACUGCCAAAUUUUCUCAUGAUCUCACCUGUACUUUGGGGAUGAUAAUCCAAAAAGAUUUUACAGCACUAAUGCUGAUCAAAAUUUGCUCUCCCACCAAGAAAAUUUCAAAGACCACAAUUGUUCUUCAAAAACAAACAAAACAAAACAUAACAAAAUUAACUGCUUAAAUGUUUUGUCUGGGCAAACAAAAUUAUGUGAAUUGUGUUGUUUUCUUGGCUUUAUGUUUUCUAUCUACACUUGAUUCACAUGUACUCUUUUCUUUGGCAUAGUGCAACUUUAUGAUUUCUGAAAUUCAAUGGUUCUAUUGACUUUUUGCAUCACUUAAUCCAAAUCAACCAAAUUCAGGGUUGAAUCUGAAUUGCCUUCUCAGGCUCAAGGUAACAGUGUUCUUGUGAUUUUACCAAAUUUUUUUUCUUUUUUUUUUUUUUUAGAUUUGUAGUAUUCUGGUCAAGUUAUCGUGCUGUACUUUGUGUGUAGAAAUUGAGUUGUAUUGUCAACCCCAGUCAGUAAAGAUAUCUUCAAAAAAUUAUCCUCAAGUGUAGAUUUCUCUUAAUUCCAUUUGUGUAUCAUGUGAAACUAUUGUUGUGGCUUCUUGUGUAAAGACGGGAACUGUGGAACUGUGAUGUUGUCUUUUGUGUUGUUAAAACAAGAAAUGUCUUACCUGUAUAUGUAUGAGUCCUCCUGUCAUUGUAUUUGGCAUAUGAAUAUUGUGUGCAAGGAAUUGUUAAGACUGGUUUUCCCUCAACAACAUAUAUUAUACUUGCUACUGGAAAAGUGUUUAAGACUUAGCUAGGUUUCCAUUUAGAUCUUCAUAUCUGUUGCAUGGAAGAAAGUUGGGUUCUUGGCAUAGAGUUGCAUGAUAUGUAAGAUUUGUGCAUUAAUAGUUGUUAAAAAUCUGUGUUCCAAAAGUGGACAUAGCAUGUACAGGCAGUUUUCUGUCCUGUGCACAAAAAGUUUAAAUAAGUUGUUUAAUAUUUGUUGUUGUAUACCCAAAUACGCACCGAAUAAACUCUUUAUAUUCAUU